AGAGUUUGAUUAUGGCUCAGGACGAACGCUGGCGGCGUGCCUAACACAUGCAAGUCGAACGGGGUUGUAAGAGCUUGCUUUUGCAACCUAGUGGCGGACGGGUGAGUAACGCGUGAGUAACCUGCCUUACAGAGGGGGAUAACGUCUGGAAACGGACGCUAAUACCGCAUGACAUAUAGUUACCGCAUGGUAAAGAUAUCAAAGGAGCAAUCCGCUGUAAGAUGGACUCGCGUCCGAUUAGCUAGUUGGAGGGGUAACGGCCCACCAAGGCGACGAUCGGUAGCCGGACUGAGAGGUCGAACGGCCACAUUGGGACUGAGACACGGCCCAG
rnacentral:rRNA from 1 species